rnacentral:lncRNA from 1 species
CAAGGGGAAAGAGUGCAGGAAGAGAAAGGAGAACAGAAGUUUCCAUUUGUACCGGAUGGUUUUGUUUUUUUAUCUGUUUGCAAAUGUUCAGUGUAAUGGUUUGAAACCCAGCCGUGUAGCUGCCGCCGCCCACACACAGAGCUGCCGUGGCACUGAGCUUCAGCAGGCAAACCAUAUCACCAGCGUCGGCCAUUAAACCCGAGCCCACACCAGGGCAGGCUGCACACCUACCCCCGGUGUCCCUCUGCCACCCCCGCCGCCCCAGCAACCCCGACACCCACCACCCUCCACACACACAAUUUUUCUUUUUUUAAAUUUCCAGCAGUCGGUUUUUCUCUAGAGAAGGCAUAAAGAGAAGCAGAGGCAGAGAUGGGACGAGCAGGGAGAAUGCUCCUGCCUCAUCGGAGCCACCGGUUUUCGGGAGAGAGCGGCAGCCCCCACCUGCCUGUGGACUGAGCACUUAAAGGUGAGAGAGGACUUUGUGAUUUCUUUGUGCACCUGGAGUUCUGGGAUGCAAGGCCAGAUGAAGGGAUCUUAAUCAUUGAGCCUGGUCUGUUGCCUCCCGAGUGAUUCUAUCAGGCAAGCAUGAUGGAUGAUUCCUUCCAAGCACACGCAGUUAUCUCUGACACGAGCCCCACUCAGGUCCCCUUGAGAUCUCUUGAACCAAGGGGCUUCUAGCCCCUCCUCCUCACCUUUCAGCACAGCCUUGUAAACCUCAGAUGUGGAUGAAGGUGCCGUCCUGCCUUUGACUUGACCUGUUGAUUUCCAACCGGGGCUGCUGGCCCUUCCUCUCUAGAGUGAGUAGUGACUCACACUUUUGGGGCCCUAUGAAAUGGUCCUCCAUCCAAGGGGCUUUGGGAAGCCUGUUUCCCUGGUGGCCCCAAGCCCAGUAACCAAAAGCAAUCAGACCCAGCUGUCCAGCUAAUUUUUUUAAAAUAGGCUUCCUUCCUAGUAGAAAUCAACAAAGUCUAAAAUAGAAGGGACUCUAAUAGGAAAUGAAGCUGCAGAGUUCUGUGUGGAAUGCAACAGGCAGGGACCUCGGCAUGGAAAAUACUAAGUGCAGAUUACAUGGCUGACAACCAUGGGAGCAGGAGAAGGAGUAAUCUCCUUGCUUAUCGAGCAUGUCUCUGGGUCGGAGGGGAGCUGAGUGGGGACAUCGCUUCUGGAAGGUUUAGACCUUUCACCAAGAAGGAGAGGAAAAAGGAAGAACAACAAAGAUGGAGAAAAGGGGGAAAAGAGGCCGUAAUGUAAUGUACAUGUAGAAGAGAAGCAGACAAAAAGCUCCAAAUUCUGUGCAGUCAGGGGAUGAAUCAGUUAGUAAAGAUCUAUUUUUAGUUUCCAAGAUCUGCUGUUACAUUUUGCCUGGCAUUAAUUAAUGUCACAGGCAUGUUCCAUGCACAGGCUCUGAAGGGCCCUCGCGUGUCACUCUAGCUGGAGGUACCAGCCCUUCUUAAUGGGAGCUCUCCAGUCCUUUGGGGUCUGGUCUCUGACACAAACAUGUGUCCAGAAUGUUCUGCUCUCUGACCUUGUCCCCUCUGGGUGUAUCCGUUAAUCUCCUCACUCUGGCCCUUGGAUGUCUGGCCAGUGGCCAAGGGAGAAUUGCAAUUGUUAUACUUUGUUUUUUAAAAGGAAAGGCUGUACAAGCUGAAAUUGGGAAAAGGCAAAGAUGUUGGAUCAUGGCUUAGAAUUUAAAGAAAAGGCUUUGAGGGCAGCUCUCCUACCACAAGGAAGAAUGAGGCCCCCCUCAUCUCCAAACAAGGCUGAUUUUGACUAAUCAGAUAUCAUAACUGGAGAACAUCUUCCAAUAUAGUUUAGGCAAAGUGUAAUAUGUUAGCAAGAACUAAUGAUAUGACUGGGGUUGAUCAGAUGUUGGCUGAAGUUGUGUGUGAGACUAAUUAUCUCCAAAAAACCUGUUCAUAUUUCAGAGGCGAGGCUGUAAAUCUGAAGAGCAGCUGAAAUGCAGGCAUGAUUGUACGCAUGAAGCCUUGCUUUCUGAGGUGGUAAAAGGGGGGAUUACAGGCCAGAAUGAAAAACCCAAGGCCACGUGGCAGCACACUGUUGGGACAGCUGUUUUUGUACAUUUGCACCAAUUAUUAGAUCAAUAAGAAAGUAUGACUACAUCAUGGACCCUAAUUAGAAGAGACGUCCCUUAUACUCUCUGAAAUGCUUGAGAAUGUUCUCCUACUAACCUAGAGCCUGAUGGGGCCAUUGACGCUAAUUGUUAAGUGCCGUUGGUCAAGGCCAAUGCAUAGUCUUCGUUUAGUUCCUAAGUCAUUUGUGGUCGGCCCAUCCAAGACAGGGACACGGACAAUCUCAUCAGAGUAGGCUGGGAGGGUUUCCAUGAUGGAAUGGGGCUGGCCUCUCUGUUGAGGGGGGAUAUCCAAGGGGUGCACAUGAGCUCUGAGGACCAGUGGCAAAGUCCCUGUUCAGUCCUUGGGAAGCAUCACCACUGCUACAUUUCUGAUGUUCUGAAGAUGGGUUAGAACAGAGCGGCCGGGCGCGGUGGCUCACGCCUGUAAUCC